UGUUUACAGGCUUCUGGGAAAGGGCUUGGAAUGGGACAUGUGUCUCACAAUAGCACCUGGAAACGUGGUUUACUCAGUCGGUAACUAUGGGCAUGAACUGGUCUAGGUUAAGAAGAGGAUAGAAAAAAUAGGUGGAUUAAUAAAAAGAGUGCCAGAUCUGAAUCAGAUAACAAGUGGAAGAGGGGUUAACACUAGAUCAUGCAUGCCUUCGAGUCAUUGAAUUUCAGAACCGAAAGCGACCUCAGAACCUGUCUAAUUUAACCAGCUCGUUUUACAGACUAAAAGGAAUCACAGGAGCAGAGUUGGCAUCUAAAUGAAGGCAACAAGGAGACCACAGAAAGGUGUUAUUUCCCAGACUUUACCAGCUACUGGCUAUCAUAAACCAUCUAAAAAACUGA